GUCCGCACCGUAAACGAUGAUUACUCGCUGCUAGAGGGCAACUUUUAGUGGCUUAGCGAAAGCGAUAAGUAAUCCACCUGGGGAGUACGCCGGCAACGGUGAAACUCAAAGGAAUUGACGGGGGCCCGCACAAGCGGAGGAGCAUGUGGUUUAAUUCGAUGAUACGCGAGGAACCUUACCAGGGCUUGAAAGUUAGGGAAUAUCUCUGAAAGGAGAUAGUCAGCAAUGACCCGAAACUAGGUGCUGCAUGGCUGUCGU
rnacentral:rRNA from 1 species